rnacentral:rRNA from 1 species
UACGUAGGGCGCGAGCGUUGUCCGGAUUUAUUGGGCGUAAAGAGCUCGUAGGCGGCUUGUCGCGUCGUCUGUGAAAUCCCGCGGCUCAACUGCGGGCUGGCAGUCGAUACGGGCGGGCUGGAGUUCGGUAGGGGAGACUGGAAUUCCUGGUGUAGCGGUGAAAUGCGCAGAUAUCAGGAGGAACACCGGUGGCGAAGGCGGGUCUCUGGGCAGUAACUGACGCUGAGGAGCGAAAGCGUGGGGAGCGAACAGG